GGAAGGACCGUGUCUCAGUGGUAGAGCAUUUGCCUUAUGUGCAGAAGUUCCUAGGUUCAAUCCCCGGCCCCUCCA